rfam:Triticum aestivum genome assembly, contig: Triticum_aestivum_CS42_TGACv1_scaffold_213192_3AS
UAUCUACUCCCUCCAUCCCUAAAUACUUGUCGGGGAGAUGAAUAAAAUUGAAUGUAUCUAUAAUUAAAAUACGUCUAGAUACAUUCAUUUCUUCAACAAGUAUUUUUGGACAGAAGGAGUACUAC